rnacentral:rRNA from 1 species
CCCGUACCGCAAACCGACACAGGUAGGCUGGUUGAGGAAACUAAGGUGGACGAGCGAACCCUCGCUAAGGAACUCGGCAAAUUGACCCCGUACCUUCGGAAGAAGGGGUGCUGCGUACGUGUGAAGCCGCUUGCCGGUGGAGCACGGGGCAGCCGCAGGGUCCAGGCCCAGGCGACUGGAUAUCAGAACCACAGGUCCCUGCUUAAGCCGAAAGGCGACGUAUAGGGGCUGAUGCCUGCCCAGUGCCGGAAGGUUAAGGGGAGAUGUUCA